rnacentral:rRNA from 1 species
AACGAACGCUGGCGGCGUGGAUAAGACAUGCAAGUCGAACGGGACAUUUUUAGUAGUAAUAUUAGAGAUGUUCAGUGGCGAACGGGUGCGUAACACGUGGAUACAUUCCGGAAAGCGGGGGAUAGCCCAGGGAAACUUGGAUUAAUACCGCAUGUGGUCGCAAGACUAAAGACGGGGAUCGAAUGACCUGUCACUUUCCGAUUGGUCCGCGGCCUAUCAGCUAGUUGGCGGGGUAAAAGCCCACCAAGGCGACGACGGGUAGCUGGUCUUAGAGGACGACCAGCCACACUGGAACUGAGACACGGUCCAGACACCUACGGGUGGCAGCAGUCGAGAAUCUUUCACAAUGGGGGCAACCCUGAUGGAGCGACGCCGCGUGGAGGAUAAGGUCUUCGGAUUGUAAACUCCUGUCAUGCGAGAACAAGGUUGCAGGGCUAAUACCCGUGCAAAUUGAUGGUACCGCAAGAGGAAGAGACGGCUAGCUCUGUGCCAGCAGCCGCAGUAA